CAAUAGCGUAUAUUAAAGUUGUUGCGGUAAAAAAGCUCGUAGUUGGAUUUCUACCGAAGAUAGCCGGUCGGGUCUUCGACCUUGUAUCUGGUUUUGUCUUUGGUAUCCUCAUAGGGAACGUUUCUGCGCUUUAUUGCGUGGUGCGGUAUCUAUGACUUUUACUUUGAGGAAAUUAGAGUGUUCACGGCAGGCAAACGCCUUGAAUAUAUUAGCAUGGAAUAAUAACAUAGGAUCUUCGUCCUAUUUUGUUGGUUUCUAGGGCUAAGAUAAUGAUUAAUAGGGAUAAUUGGGGGCAUCUGUAUCAACGCGUCAGAGGUGGAAUUCUUUGAUUGCGUUGCGACAAACUACUGCGAAAGCAUUUGCCAAGGAUGUUUUCAUUGA
rnacentral:rRNA from 1 species